rnacentral:rRNA from 1 species
ACAUAGGGGCGUGAGAGCGGAUCCCCACACGGGACUGAGACACGACCGGACUCUACGGGGAGCACCAAUAGGGAAAAAAUGGCAAUGGACGGGAGUNGGACCAGCCAUUCCGCGUGCAGGAAGAAAGGUCCUAUGGACGUAAACUGCUUUACAGAGAAGAAACGCCCUCAAUUAAUGAGGUCGACGGAUCUGCGGAAUAAGCACCGGCUACUCCGUGGCCAGCAGCCGCGGUAAUACGGGGGGUGCAAAGCGUUAUCCGGAAUCACUGGGUUUUAAAGGGUGCGCAGGCGGGACAUUAAGUCAGUGGUGAAAGUCUGUUGCUUAACGAUAGAAUUGCCGUUGAUACUGAUGUUCUUGAAUUGGGUUGAGGUUAGCGGAAUGUGACAUGUAGCGGUGAAAUGCAUAGAUAUGUCAUGGAACACCAAUUGCGAAGGCAGCUAGCUGGGCCUUGAUUGACGCUGAGGCACGAAAGCGUGGGGAGCAAACAGGAUUAGAUACCUGGUAGUCCACGCCCUAAACGAUGCUAACUCGAUGUUUGGUUUUAGGAUUGAGCAUCUAAGGGAAACCGAUAAGUUAGCCACCUGGGGAGUACGACCGCAAGGUUGAAACUCAAAGGAAUUGACGGGGGUCCGCACAAGCGGAUGGAGCAUGUGGNUUAAAUUCGAUGAUACGCGAGGACCUACUAAGGGCUAGAAUGUGAGUGACAUUCGUCAAUUAAAAAAACAAAAAAAAGGGGGGGGGGGG